UUGGAUAAAAGGGGCCUUUGCCAUGUAAGCUGAGCUGCGUCGGGCAGGCAGGGACAGCAAGAUGGUGUCACAGAGGCAGGUCCUCAUAUCCUUGUUGCUGUGGGUCUCAGGUGCCUGCGGGGCGAUCACGAUGACGCAGUCCCCAGGCUCCCUGGCUGUGUCUCUGGGUCAGCGCGUCACCUUGAACUGCAGGGCCAGUCAGAGUGUUAGCAAGUGGUUAGCCUGGUACCAACAGAAACCUGGGCAGCAUCCUAAGCUGCUCAUCUACUACGCAUCCACCCGGGCAUCUGGAGUCCCCGACCGAUUCAGCGGCAGUGGGUCUGGGACAGAUUUCACCCUCACCAUCAGCAACCUCCAGGCUGAAGACGUGGCGACUUAUUACUGUCUGCAGGAUUAUAGCUCUCCUUCCACAGUGCUGCAGCCUCCGGGCACGUCCAUCACCUCCAUCCCGGUGCGGGUCAUGCCGCCCUGGGCUGGUGCAGCUGAGGGGCCGCAACAGGGUCCAGAGCCCUCAGCUGUAUGUGAUGCCCUGACGUCUCCAGCAUCUGCCUCUCGGGGCCACUGA